rnacentral:lncRNA from 1 species
CACCCCCACAGCAACACACAACUGUCACACACACACUGUACAUAUACACAAGCACACCCCCACAGCAACACACAACUGCCACACACACUGUAAUAUACACAUGCACACCCCCACAGCAACACACAACUGCCACACACACACACACACACACACACACACCACUGUAAUAUACACAAGCACACUCCCACAGCAACAUGUACUUACAAACACAAAGAAAUGGAGGCUUGGAGGGCCUCGACUGAGGAAAGGAGCGUGAAAGGGAAAUGUAUUGAAGAAGUGGGUGGAGCAGUGGUUCUUACCAUUCAGGGAACCUUGGCAUUAUGGGUAACUCACUAGAACACCCAUACUGUCCCCUGUGUGCUCACCCUCAGGGUGAGGUGCUGGGAUUGCCAUUCUUAACAGUUUCUUUGGGUGGCUGUUGGGAUUGGGGACCUUUGGAGUUUUACUAUUUCUGUUUUGACCCCAUAUCUGUAAUUUGGUAGUCGGGGAUCACAAUUUUACAAAACAUUUGUACUCUAGGCUCAAUCACACACAAAACAGAGAUAAUGGUAAUUUAAUGGGUGUAAGGCUGAGCUGAUGUUCACAAACAUAUCUAGUGUAACAUUAAUUUAUCUAAGCACUCAGUUUCCUUCUUUUUUAUUUUUUCUUGGCAAGAACAAGCAUUCUUUAUUGCCUCCAUGGUCCCUUGUUAAAUUUACAUAACUUAGGUAAAACUGUUAUUUCAUUUUUUGUAUUAGAUAUUUUCUUUAUUUACAUUUC